GUGCACGCUGGCGGCAGGCCUCACCCAUGCAAGUCGAGCGGCAGCGCGGGGGCAACCCUGGCGGCGAGCGGCGGACGGGUGAGGAAUUCGUCGGAAUCUGCCUUUUUGUGGGGGAUAACGUAGGGAAACUUACGCUAAUACCGCAUACGUCCUACGGGAGAAAGUGGGGGACCGCAAGGCCUCACGCAGAAAGAUGAGCCGACGACCGAUUAGCUAGUUGGUGGGGUAAAGGCCCACCAAGGCGACGAUCGGUAGCUGGUCUGAGAGGAUGAUCAGCCACACUGGGACUGAGACACGGCCCAGACUCCUACGGGAGGCAGCAGUGGGGAAUAUUGGACAAUGGGCGCAAGCCUGAUCCAGCCAUGCCGCGUGUGUGAAGAAGGCCUUCGGGUUGUAAAGCACUUUUGUCCGGAAAGAAAUCCCUGGAGCUAAUACCUUCGGGGGAUGACGGUACCGGAAGAAUAAGCACCGGCUAACUUCGUG
rnacentral:rRNA from 1 species